GGGCCGGUAGCUCAAUGGUAGAGCACUUCCCUCUUAAGGAAUAGGUUGUGGGUUCGAGUCCCACCCGGCUCA
rnacentral:tRNA from 2 species